GCGGGGUAGGGAGAGCCGGCUAAAUAAUGGGUUGUGUUUGAUGGUUGGUACGGAAUGAUGUGAUACGAGGGGGCCUAUUGUGAUGGCUUUCUGAGUUCUGGGGAGGAAAGGUCUGGAAUCCCAUGGAGAUGAAUGGGGGAAAGAGAGAGCUCAGCUGUGAGGUUCUCAGCCCUGAUGUUCCCAGGAGGACAGACCUGCGUAGCUCAGGACACAGGUGACGAGAUGUGGAGUCCUAACUUUGAAGAGCAGAGGUGGUGUGGGACAACCCAUAGCGUGGGCAGAAAUAGACUCUUGGAACUGCAUUGAACCUCAGACCUUUGAAAGCAUCCGUAACCAUGGGACCGCAGAGAGAAGGAGAGAAUCCAUUGCUCUUGUGUUUUUCACCAAGCUGUCAUGUUACCUCAAUAAAGUUUCAUCUCAAGGUUUA